rnacentral:rRNA from 1 species
CCUACGGGAGGCAGCAGUAGGGAAUUUUCGUCAAUGGGGGGAACCCUGAACGAGCAAUGCCGCGUGAGUGAAGAAGGUCUUCGGAUCGUAAAGCUCUGUUGUAAGAGAAAAACGGGUAUCAUAGGGAAUGAUGAUAUCGUGAUGGUAUCUUACCAGAAAGCCACGGCUAACUACGUGCCAGCAGCCGCGGUAAUACGUAGGUGGCAAGCGUUAUCCGGAAUGAUUGGGCGUAAAGGGUGCGUAGGCGGCAAAAUAAGUCUGAAGUAAAAGGCGUUGGCUCAACCAACGUAAGCUUUGGAAACUGUUAAGCUAGCGUGCAGGAGAGGUUAGUGGAAUUCCAUGUGUAGCGGUAAAAUGCGUAGAUAUAUGGAGGAACACCAGUGGCGAAGGCGGCUAACUGGCCUGUAACGGACGCUGAGGCACGAAAGCGUGGGGAGCAAAUAGGAUUAGAUACCCUUGUAGUC